CCUACGUGAGGCAGCAGUGGGGAAUAUUGCACAAUGGGGGGAACCCUGAUGCAGCGACGCCGCGUGAGUGAAGAAGUAUUUCGGUAUGUAAAGCUCUAUCAGCAGGGAAGAAAAUGACGGUACCUGACUAAGAAGCCCCGGCUAACUACGUGCCAGCAGCCGCGGUAAUACGUAGGGGGCAAGCGUUAUCCGGAUUUACUGGGUGUAAAGGGAGCGCAGACGGCUGUGCAAGUCUGGAGUGAAAGGCGGGGGCCCAACCCCCGGACUGCUCUGGAAACUGUAAAGCUGGAGUGCAGGAGAGGUAAGGGGAAUUCCUAGUGUAGCGGUGCAAGGUGGAGAGAGUAGGAGGAACACCAGUGGCGAAGGCGGCUUACUGGACUGCAACUGACGUUGAGGCUCGAAAGCGUGGGGAGCAAACAGGAUGAGAUACCCCUGUAGUC
rnacentral:rRNA from 1 species